UUUCUCACGAUCCCUUCGGGGUGACGAGUUAUUGACUGAGUGGCGGACGGGUGAGUAACGCGUGGGUAACCUACCUUGUACAGGGGGACAACAGUUGGAAACGACUGCUAAUACCGCAUAAGCGCACAGCAUCGCAUGAUGCAGUGUGAAAAGUUUUUUCGGUACAAGAUGGACCCGCGUCUGAUUAGCUAGUUGGUGAGGUAACGGCCCACCAAGGCGACGAUCAGUAGCCGACCUGAGAGGGUGACCGGCCACAUUGGGACUGAGACACGGCCCAAACUCCUACGGGAGGCAGCAGUGGGGAAUAUUGCACAAUGGGCGCAAGCCUGAUGCAGCGACGCCGCGUGAGCGAAGAAGUAUUUCGGUAUGUAAAGCUCUAUCAGCAGGGAAGAUAAUGACGGUACCUGACUAAGAAGCACCGGCUAAAUACGUGCCAGCAGCCGCGGUAAUACGUAUGGUGCAAGCGUUAUCCGGAUUUACUGGGUGUAAAGGGAGCGUAGGCGGUUUUACAAGUCUGAUGUGAAAGCCCGGGGCUCAACUCCGGUAUUGCAUUGGAAACUGUAGAACUAGAGUGUCGGAGGGGUAAGUGGAAUUCCUAGUGUAGCGGUGAAAUGCGUAGAUAUUAGGAGGAACACCAGUGGCGAAGGCGGCUUACUGGACGAUUACUGACGCUGAGGCUCGAAAGCGUGGGGAGCAAACAGGAUUAGAUACCCUGGUAGUCCACGCCGUAAACGAU
rnacentral:rRNA from 1 species